UUGGGUAGGCCUGUAUAUAUUUACUGCGGUACGAACAUUCCCCCUUUAUCAAGAAAAUGGCUCCUAAGAAGCUUUUAUUUCUCUUCCAGGUUCUCUUGGUUAUUUUUCUCCUACUAGCCUCAGCCAUGGCGACAAGGAACGUGGAAAGGACUGCCAAGACUUAUGAGAAAGCUGCAAGGGAGCUCAUUUAUAAACCUCAGAAUAGGGAUGAUCCUUGGGGGCAUGGUUAUAUCCCUGCAGUUGCUAAACCAGAUCGAACAUAAACUACUGCUAGCUAGUCAGCCUGCUGAUCAUACGUAUUGAUGUAUCAAAUAAUGUCAUUGCCUGGUACCGAGUGAAUAAAAUAGAAGCUACUGCUUCAGUACUUAGCUUCUUGGUCCAGUUUCGUCCUUCGGUAUAUGUAAUAUUAGUAUUUUGCUAGAUAUUGGCGCAGCAUUGAAGCUCAUCAGAAGUUUCUCUGUACUGCGUAGCCUGGACAAGGUUAAUAUGAGUUAGAUAUUGUAAACUUGUCAUUUCAUGAAUAAAGUUUGUGUUAAAUGCACAA